rnacentral:rRNA from 1 species
AACGAACGCUGGCGGCGUGCCUAACACAUGCAAGUCGUGCGAGAAAGUUCCUUCGGGAGCGAGUAAAGCGGCGCACGGGUGAGUAACACGUAGGUAACCUGCCCCCCCAGUCUGGAACAACUAGAGGAAACUCUAGCUAAUGCCGGAUGAGACCACGAUCCCUUCGGGGUUGCGGCCAAAGAUGGCCUCUACUUGUAAGCUAUCGCUGAGGGAUGGGCCUGCGGCCAUUAGCUUGUUGGUGAGGUAACGGCUCACCAAGGCUGUGAUGGCUAGCUGGUCUGAGAGGAUGACCAGCCACACUGGGACUGAGACACGGCCCAGACCUCCGUACGGAGGCAGCAGUGGGAAUAUUGCGCAA